rnacentral:rRNA from 1 species
AUACGUAGGGGGCGAGCGUUGUCCGGAAUGAUUGGGCGUAAAGGGCGCGUAGGCGGCGCGGUAAGUCUGGAGUGAAAGUCCUGCUUUCAAGGUGGGAAUUGCUUUGGAUACUGCCGCGCUUGAGUGCAGGAGAGGUUAUCGGAAUUCCCGGUGUAGUGGUGAAAUGCGUAGAGAUCGGGAGGAACACCAGUGGCGAAGGCGGGUAACUGGACUGCAACUGACGCUGAGGCGCGAAAGUGUGGGGAGCAAACAGGAUUAGAUACCCUGGUAGUCCACACUGUAAACGAUGAAUGCUAGGUGUAAGAGGUAUCGACCCCUUUUGUGCCGGAGUCAACACAAUAAGCAUUCCGCCUGGGGAGUACGGCCGCAAGGUUGAAACUCAAAUGAAUUGACGGGG